rnacentral:rRNA from 1 species
GAAAGGCGCUUUCGGGUGUCGCUGAUGGAUGGACCCGCGGUGCAUUAGCUAGUUGGUGAGGUAACGGCUCACCAAGGCGACGAUGCAUAGCCGACCUGAGAGGGUGAUCGGCCACAUUGGGACUGAGACACGGCCCAAACUCCUACGGGAGGCAGCAGUAGGGAAUCUUCGGCAAUGGACGAAAGUCUGACCGAGCAACGCCGCGUGAGUGAAGAAGGUUUUCGGAUCGUAAAACUCUGUUGUUAGAGAAGAACAAGGAUGAGAGUAACUGUUCAUCCCUUGACGGUAUCUAACCAGAAAGCCACGGCUAACUACGUGCCAGCAGCCGCGGUAAUACGUAGGUGGCAAGCGUUGUCCGGAUUUAUUGGGCGUAAAGCGAGCGCAGGCGGUUUCUUAAGUCUGAUGUGAAAGCCCCCGGCUCAACCGGGGAGGGUCAUUGGAAACUGGGAGACUUGAGUGCAGAAGAGGAGAGUGGAAUUCCAUGUGUAGCGGUGAAAUGCGUAGAUAUAUGGAGGAACACCAGUGGCGAAGGCGGCUCUCUGGUCUGUAACUGACGCUGAGGCUCGAAAGCGUGGGGAGCAAACAGGAUUAGAUACCCUGGUAGUCCACGCCGUAAACGAUGAGUGCUAAGUGUUGGAGGGUUUCCGCCCUUCAGUG